CCCUGUGCAAGAGGACAAAAGUCAGGUGCCAGGAAAGCCCUAGAAGACCCUCCCCAGUCUGCAAUGCCCCUGGUCUGGGGCUAACACAGCAGGGGGCAGCUCUGUCACCCCCAG